rnacentral:rRNA from 1 species
GAUGAACGCUGGCGGCGUGCCUAAUACGUGCAAGUCGAGCGAACAGACGAGGAGCUUGCUCCUCUGACGUUAGCGGCGGACGGGUGAGUAACACGUGGAUAACCUACCUAUAAGACUGGGAUAACUUCGGGAAACCGGAGCUAAUACCGGAUAAUAUAUUGAACCGCAUGGUUCAAUAGUGAAAGACGGUUUUGCUGUCACUUAUAGAUGGAUCCGCGCCGCAUUAGCUAGUUGGUAAGGUAACGGCUUACCAAGGCAACGAUGCGUAGCCGACCUGAGAGGGUGAUCGGCCACACUGGAACUGAGACACGGUCCAGACUCCUACGGGAGGCAGCAGUAGGGAAUCUUCCGCAAUGGGCGAAGGCCUGACGGAGCAACGCCGCGUGAGUGAUGAAGGUCUUCGGAUCGUAAAACUCUGUUAUUAGGGAAGAACAAAUGUGUAAGUAACUAUGCACGUCUUGACGGUACCUAAUCAGAAAGCCACGGCUAACUACGUG